GUGAAUCAUCGAAUCUUUGAACGCAAAUUGCACUCUCUUCGGAGAGUAUGCCUGUUUGAGGGUCAGCCUAAAAAAAAAAUCGACAUCGUUGCUGUUUCGCGGUGUCGUUCGUCGGACAUUGGUUUAUCUUAAAUCUUUUGUUUAAGCGACUUACAAUUUUCUUUACUAUUCCAUGAACGUUUCCAAAAUUUAUUUCUUUACACGUUUAAGGUAUCGAUUUUAUUAGUCCUGGUCGUUAUAUCG
rnacentral:misc_RNA from 1 species